rnacentral:rRNA from 1 species
CCUACGGGUGGCAGCAGUGAGGAAUAUUGGUCAAUGGGCGAGAGCCUGAACCAGCCAAGUCGCGUGAGGGAGUACGGCCCUAUGGGUUGUAAACUUCUUUUAUAUGGGAAUAAAAUGUUCCACGUGUGGGAUUUUGUAUGUACCAUAUGAAUAAGCAUCGGCUAACUCCGUGCCAGCAGCCGCGGUAAUACGGAGGAUCCGAGCGUUAUCCGGAUUUAUUGGGUUUAAAGGGAGCGUAGGUGGAUUGUUAAGUCAGUUGUGAAAGUUUGCGGCUCAACCGUAAAAUUGCAGUUGAAACUGGCAGUCUUGAGUACAGUAGAGGUGGGCGGAAUUCGUGGUGUAGCGGUGAAAUGCUUAGAUAUCACGAAGAACUCCGAUUGCGAAGGCAGCUCACUGGACUGCAACUGACACUGAGGCUCGAAAGUGUGGGUAUCAAACAGGAUUAGAUACCCCAGUAGUC